CCUGGAUGGUCAAGGGUACAGUGAGCCAUGAUCAUAUCACCUCACUCCACUGUACUUGCUCUUGACAGAGCAAGACCCUGUCUCAAGCAAGACAAAACCCCAUGGCAAGGAUGGCCGGCUAUGCCCCAAUAUACAUUCUCUUCUAUUUCCAUUGUGAGAGAGCCCAAGAUUUUGGGCUGCAAAGAUGGCCCCCAAAUAAAGGUUACACUUCCCAGGCU
rnacentral:lncRNA from 1 species